GGAUUGUGGUUCAGUGGUAGAGCGUGUGCUUUGCACAUGUGGGGGGCCCUGGGUUCAAUCCUCAGCACCA
rnacentral:tRNA from 1 species